rnacentral:lncRNA from 1 species
CCAUCUAAUAUCAUGGGCUUUAAAUCCGUAUUAUUUCAUAUAUUUUCAUGACAUGUUGCUAAGAUUGGUGACCGUGGUCACCGUCUCCCAGAAAAUAGGAAAAGAAAAUGAGAGAAAAAAAAAUAAAGAUCCCAUCUGAGCGCUGCGUCUCUACCAUCUCAUCAUGAGAUUUCUAGCCACACUAGUGGAACAUUUCAUGAACCAGGAACAGAACAAAUAAAAUUUUUAAAUUGAAAGCAGCACCAAUUGCAAUGCUAUAAUAACUAAUCAUAAAAGAACAACAAUUAUGAUACAAGAUUUUUUCCUCAAAAGCAAACGGUAUAAGAAUACAUCUUCAAGAGCAUUAAAAUAGAUAACAUAGAACGGCUCCAAACUGGACGGACAAAAGGAACAGACUACUUGAAAUAGAUCAUGGGCCUCUCUGAGUUGGGACCCCAUGUCCCGGCCUCCCUCAUGUACUCCAAAUACCUCAAGAACUCGGGCUUCGUCACAGCCUUCUUCGAGGGCGCUUCGAGAAUUUUGAUCACAGGAUGAGCUUUUAUGUCCUUGUGGUUUGAUGUCUUCGUUUUGGUCGUGGAAGCCUUUGGUUCGCUCUUCUCGGUGAAGUUGAAGGAGAACUGUUGGGAAAGGAGUCGACGGUAGCCUCGUCUCUUCUUCUGAAAGCUUGAAGCUCCAGACAUUAUUUCCGUGGAAGAAGAGAAGGCCAGGGAGUACGUUGGCGUGCUUGGUCUUGUGUUGGUGGUGCUUAUAAUGGUGCAAGGCAAAGUGAUGAUGCUGAAGAGUGGAAUUUAUAGGGCUUGGAUUUUGCUGAAAUGGUCGCGUUUUGAUGGGAUUGAUUAAUCUUGC